GCAGAUACGGCGACAUGGUGCCAACCACCAUCAUUGGCAAAAUUGUGGGUGGUGUCUGCUCCCUGUCCGGGGUUCUCGUCAUCGCCCUCCCAGUGCCGGUCAUCGUGAGCAGC
rfam:Macrostomum lignano uti_cns_0047083, whole genome shotgun sequence.